CCUACGGGGGGCAGCAGUGGGGAAUUUUGGACAAUGGGCGCAAGCCUGAUCCAGCCAUGCCGCGUGUGUGAAGAAGGCCUUCGGGUUGUAAAGCACUUUCGGACGGAACGAAAUCGCGCGCAUGAACAAUGCGCGUGGAUGACGGUACCGUAAGAAGAAGCACCGGCUAACUACGUGCCAGCAGCCGCGGUAAUACGUAGGGUGCAAGCGUUAAUCGGAAUUACUGGGCGUAAAGGGUGCGCAGGCGGCCCCGCAUGUCAGGCGUGAAAUCCCCGGGCUCAACUUGGGAAUGGCGCUUGAAACUACGGGGCUGGAGUGUGGCAGAGGGAGGUGGAAUUCCACGUGUAGCGGUGAAAUGCGUAGAGAUGUGGAGGAACACCGAUGGCGAAGGCAGCCUCCUGGGCCAACACUGACGCUCAUGCACGAAAGCGUGGGGAGCA
rnacentral:rRNA from 1 species